rnacentral:rRNA from 1 species
AGCGAACGCUGGCGGCAGGCUUAACACAUGCAAGUCGAACGGGCAUAGCAAUAUGUCAGUGGCAGACGGGUGAGUAACGCGUGGGAACGUACCUUUUGGUUCGGAACAACACAGGGAAACUUGUGCUAAUACCGGAUAAGCCCUUACGGGGAAAGAUUUAUCGCCGAAAGAUCGGCCCGCGUCUGAUUAGCUAGUUGGUAGGGUAAUGGCCUACCAAGGCGACGAUCAGUAGCUGGUCUGAGAGGAUGAUCAGCCACAUUGGGACUGAGACACGGCCCAAACUACUACGGGAGGCAGCAGUGGGGAAUAUUGGGCAAUGGGCGAAAGCCUGAUCCAGCCAUGCCGCGUGAGUGAUGAAGGCCCUAGGGUUGUAAAGCUCUUUUGUGCGGGAAGAUAAUGACGGUACCGAAAGAAUAAGCCCCGGCUAACUUCGUG